UGGUCGUACAGGAAAGGGCAGGGGCGACUCCCCACUCUUCAAGACCCUAGAACUUCACUAAUCUUGCAAAUUGAAGGUCCAAUUCAGUCCAAAAUCGAAAUUUAAGCAUGGAUUAUUGAUCCUCAUCACAAGAGGAUUAAAAGUUUGAUCUCGUCAAGCUAAGUGGGAGCUGGAAAGGAAUGGAUCAAACGGAUCAUGGAUGCGAAGAAUGUUUGCGCGGACGCGAGGUUCAUUUUGGAUGCCGAGAGACGAUCAAGCUCAUCGAAGAACCGAACACGAUAUAGUUACAUGCUUCCGCACUUUGCCACGUUGUAUAUUUUAAACAACGAAUUCGAUCACGUUUUGUAGAAUAACUUAUGAAUUGUAAAAGUUUUAAUUUACUCGAAAUUUUCUAAGGAUACUUAACCUUAAAUACAUGUUUGUUUUCGUAAAUUAUACGAAAACCUUUAAAAUA
rnacentral:lncRNA from 1 species